GGGUAAAUGUAGUGUUAAAGGGUAAAUGUAGCGUUAGAGGGUAAAUGUAGCGUUAGAGGGUAAAUGUAGCGUUAGAGGGUAAAUGUAGCAUUAGAGGGUAAAUGUAGCAUUAGAGGGUAAAUGUAGCAUUAGAGGGUAAAUGUAGCGUUAGAGGGUAAAUGUAGCGUUAGAGGGUAAAUGUAGCGUUAGAGGGUAAAUGUAAAUGUAGCAUUAGAGGGUAAAUGUAGCGUUAGAGGGUAAAUGUAGCGUUAGAGGGUAAAUGUAGCGUUAGAGGGUAAAUGUAGCACUAGAGGGUAAAUGUAGCACUAGAGGGUAAAUGUAGUACUAGAGGGUAAAUGUAGCGUUAAAGGGUAAAUGUAGUGUUAGAGGGUAAAUGUAGCGUUAGAGGGUAAAUGUAGCGUUAAAGGGUAAAUGUAGCGUUAGAGGGUAAAUGUAGUACUAGAGGGUAAAUGUAGUAUUAGAGGGUAAAUGUAGCAUGAGAGGGUAAAUGUAGCGUUAGAGGAUAAAUGUAGCAUUAGAGGGUAAAUGUAGUGUUGGAGCGUAAAUGUAGCAUUAGAGGGUAAAUGUAGCAUUAGAGGGUAAAUGUAGUAUUAGAGGGUAAAUGUAGUGUUGAGCGUAAAUGUAGCAUUAGAGGGUAAAUGUAGUGUUGGAGCGUAAAUGUAGCGUUAGAGGGUAAAUGUAGUGUUGGAGCGUAAAUGUAGCGUUAGAGGGUAAAUGUAGCGUUAGAGGGUAAAUGUAGUGUUGGAGCGUAAAUAUAGCAUUAGAGGGUAAAUGUAGUGUUGGAGCGUAAAUGUAGCGUUAGAGCGUAAAUGUAGCAUUAGAGGGUAAAUGUAGUGUUGAGCAUAAAUGUAGCGUUAGAGGGUAAAUGUAGCAUUAGAGGGUAAAUGUAGUGUUGGAGCGUAAAUGUAGCAUUAGAGGGUAAAUGUAGUGUUGAGCGUAAAUGUAGCAUUAGAGGGUAAAUGUAGUGUUGGAGCGUAAAUGUAGCGUUAGAGGGUAAAUGUAGUGUUGGAGCGUAAAUGUAGCGUUAGAGGGUAAAUGUAGCGUUAGAGGGUAAAUGUAGCUUUAGAGGGUAAAUGUAGUUUCCACCUUGGAGCUGCAGCAUUUGUAGGAUCUUUGUUUUUAGGUGGAUUGUUCCUUUAGCAGCUAAAUUGUGCCUUUAGCUGCAGACAGAGGAGGGAUUGUGCGUCUGGUGGCUUCAUCUAUAGUAGGUUCCAUUACUGCGGUGUGGCCCGCUGUGUGCUGCAUAGCUGUGGUUAAACAGUCCUGAAGAGCGUACACACACACAC